rnacentral:tRNA from 1 species
GCCCGGCUGGCGCAAUGGUAGCGCGCAAGACUUCUAUCAAAAGUCAAUCAAUCUUGAGGCUGUGGGUUCGAGUCCCACGUCGGGUG